rnacentral:rRNA from 1 species
GCGACCGGGUGAGUAACACGUGACUAACCUACCCUACAGUGGGGGAUAACUCCGGGAAACCGGGGCUAAUACCGCAUAACAUCGUAAGAUCAAAGGAGCAAUUCGCUGAAGGAGGGGGUCGCGGCUGAUUAGUUAGUUGGUGAGGUAACGGCUCACCAAGACGAAGAUCAGUAGCCGGCCUGAGAGGGCGCACGGCCACACUGGAACUGAAACACGGUCCAGACUCCUACGGGAGGCAGCAGUGGGGAAUUUUGCGCAAUGGGGGAAACCCUAACGCAGCAACGCCGCGUGGAGGAUGAAGUCCCUUGGGAUGUAAACUCCUUUCGAUCGGGACGAUUAUGACGGUACCGGAAGAAGAAGCACCGGCUAACUCUGUGCCAGCAGCCGCGGUAAUACAGAGGGUGCAAGCGUUGUUCGGAAUUAUUGGGCGUAAAGGGUGCGUAGGCGGUGCGGUAAGUCUGUAGUGAAAUCUCUGGGCUCAACUCAGAGUCUGCUAUAGAAACUGCCGUGCUUGAGUGUGGGAGAGGUGAGUGGAAUUCCCGGGUGUAGCGGUGAAAUG